CCCAGUUUCUGAAGGUCCAGUUUGGUUCCAUGUGUUUAGACUUCAGAGGUGAAGAAACUGAGGCCCUGAGAAAUACGUAAUUUAUCUGCACCAGAGUCUGUGUUCUCCACUACUUCACUCUCGCACUGCCAGGAUUAUACUGUGGUUUGAUGUAGCUUGUAUAGCCUGUAGCUUGAAACAGGCUAUGAUGGAGAUGUUUAUACCACAGAAAUCAGCAAGUGCUACAAGUCAGGGCUUGUUGUUGUUUUUUAUUGUUGAAAUUUAACAAUGUGGUGGAGAUGCAGAUGCACAGGAGACCCCAGGAAAGAGAUGGAGGAGUUGCUUCCCAGACAGUCUUGGAUCUCAACUUCCAGAUGGAUCCCAUUCCCACUCUUGUGUAUCUUUUAAGGUGGUCAGGGGAGCUUUCUCUGAUAGGAUGACAACUGAACAGAGAACUUAACGAACUGAGGAAUGUGCCACGUGAAGUGUCUACCAAGGAUCAAGGCACUCAGGUGGGAACAUGCCUUGAACAGAUGCUUGAG